AUUAGAAGCUGAAGGAAUGGGGUUCUGUGUCCACACAGGGGAUGUAGCAGGCUGAGAGCUCACAGCUGGUUACGGAGCUGAGAUAAGAAUGCAGCAGCCCUAGGCCUCUGAAUUAUUGGGGGCUCAUCUGCAUCAAAUCUGCAUUGAACUCACACAUGCCCUGUUCCUGCUGGACCAAGCAUCCAGGACCCGCUACAGAACAAGCUUCUUCAUCAGGAAAAGAGAGGGUGAUCUGGUGAGAGAUAAGCUUUCAGGUGUGGUAGUUCGAGACCAGGAGGCCCAGAAAUGAAGACGGCAGGGGGGUCUCUUUUCAGCCUAAAAGAGGAUACCUCAGCACAGCAGUGACUUACCCCAGGCCUUGGGGCGCUCAGACCACCAAAGUCCUCCCCUGGAAUGAGCUUGGGAUGGAUUUAACAUCAGGGGCCACUAGGAUGUGGCCUCUCCCCAGGGGCUUAGAAGUCCCGUGGCCCCAGCCUGCCCCGCUCCCUCAUCUUCCCCUCCUCAUACUUCCCAAUCUAGCCCCACCUCAACUGCCGGUGGGUCCUCAUAUACUCCAUGCUUUUUAUACCAUCAUACCUUGCCCAAGCUGUCUUUAGUCUGAAAGCCCCUUCCCCCACCUCUCACCUUCUUUCCAUUACACACUGGGCUUAAGUAUCACCUCCAGUCUUGAUCAGUAGCCUCUCCUGAGCUCCUACAAUCCCCUGAAUGUCCUUCUAGGGCAGAGGUUGGCAAACUUUUUCUGUGAAGGGCCAGAUAGUAGCUAUUUAGGCUUUGAGGGCCAAAUGGUCUCGGUCACACCACUCAAUCCUGCCACUAUGGGGCAGAAGCAGUCAGAGACAUUAGAUAAAUGAGUGAGCAUGGUUAUGUUUCAAUAAAACUUUAUUUACAAAAAACUGGUGACAGGCCAGGCCUGUGGCCUGUAUUUUGAUGACCUCUGCUCUAGAUCAUCACUGAUUGCGAGUCCAACAUGGUUUGCUUUCUUCCCUGUCCCUGCAGCACAGAGACUGUCAAAUUCAGCAAGAAUCCAGCUUGGGGUAGGUCUCAGUGCGGGACACUGAGCUAAAUGCGAGCACAGCCCCCCAGCCUCUGCUCCAUACUUACAGUUCUGGGGCUUGCCUUCUCCCUGGGAAGCCACUCCCAUGGACCACCUUUAUUCAAAUCUACCCACAGGCCCUCUGGGUGCUUCUGGGGCUGCAGGCCUGCUCCCCCUCCUCUGGGGAGCCUGGCAAGGAUUUGGUGAGAGAGACUGUGUCUCUGAAUCUGUUCCAUGUCUGUCCUUCUCAGUGGAAUCUUUGCAGUACAUCUGCAUUCUAAGAUGAGUUUUCUUCACACUUUGCUUAGAAGAAUGCCUCUGUACGUGCAGAACUAGAAGAAACCUGAGGAAUCAGAGUCCACCUUCAGAUGGGUAGAUUGAGGCCCAGAAAGGGAAAGGGGCUGGCUGAGGGAAAUACAGCAUGGCAGGGAUAAGAACAGCUCUCCUGCCUCUCAGCCCAGGGCUCUGGAGAGGCCCUCCCUGUUUCCUGCACUGAGAGGUCAUCGUCAAUGAUAGAUGCGAAUACCACCUAUUGGUAAAUCAUAGUCCAUAAUCAUCUUAAAGUAAGUACCAAUAUGAACCACAGCACCUGGGGAAUUUCCUAAUGUGAACACCAGUGGUUUUCCCCCCACAAGAAGCUCAGCAUCCAAAAAAAGAAACGUAUAUCCUAGUUUUCUCUUUUUCUCGUUCUAACACUCACUAGGUGCUUCCUCUGUGCCAGUCUCUGCCAGGUGUUUUUACCCAAGAAACCUCAUGGCAGGGGGCCUGCUAUGUACUCAUUUGACAUAUGAGGAAAUCCAGACCCAGAGAUGUUAAGUUACAUGUCCAAGGUCACAGCUGGGGGGAGCAGGGUCACAGUCUGAACCCACAGUCAGAUGCCUGCUCAUCUCCACCACGGCUCCCCAGUCAAACAUUCAGCAGUACCAAAUGUGGAAGAAAAACCUUACAGCAGGUGGGAAAGCCCUGUGCAAGCUUCAGUUCCACAUUCAAUGAACCUUGCUUCUGUUCUACGUUCUGCACUGAGAACACAGAAUCAGCCCAGCCCAGUCUCUGGGAAUUAAGAGCAAGUAGGCAAGUCUGGCAAGGAUGUGUGGUCAGACAGUGCCCAAAACAGCAGGGCAGGCUUGAAGAAGGUGAUGAUGGGGCUCUGUUGCUGGGCACAGGACAACCAGAUACCCCCCAAAAACCCUGCCCUCCCUGGGAUUCUGAAAGCCUGGGGGUGAUCUUGUCCUCCUCCAUGUGCCAAGCCCUGGCAGGCACUGGGCAAGGAGGCCAGAGCAGCCAAAAACACCACUGCUGUCCCAAAGGGCAGCUUUGAGGUCAGCCCCGCCCAGGAAAUGGCAGCUGCAGGGAGAGUGGUGUUUUUGGCAACAGAUUCGGUGGUGUUUUUGGGAACAGAUUUGUUCACUGGCUGGACCAGCUUGGAGAUUUUCCACUCUGGCUCUGGCCUGGCACCUUUCACCCAAUAUCCCAGUGACUCCUCACAGCUAUCUUGGUAGCUGUUGUUAUUAAUCCCAUUGUACAGAAGAGGAAAUUAAGGCUUAGAGGUAAGGGUGUUAGGUGGCAGAAGUGUGAUUUCAACUGUGUGUGGCAGCUGCCAAAGCUUGAUCUCUUUCCACUCAGACCCUCAGCCACCUCAGUGUUACCAGGCUAAGAAUGAGGACCCCAGAGAGUCCUCAAAUGUACUGAAACAUCUCUCAGGUCUCCUGGAAUGUGCCCAGAAGUGUGCAGCAGAAUAAACCCAGGCCUGGGACGGCUUUUGCUCUGCUAAUGGACAGCACUUUCAGGGUGGGGACUAGACUAAAGCACGCUGGAGGGCCCCAUUGGAAGUGUGACCAUAUGGAAGGAUCUGGAGUCAGAGUGGAGACUGACUCCUGGCAUAGCCACCUCGGGGUGAACCUGGGCAAGUGGGGAUGUGGCUUUCCCAUGCAGCUUUGUCACAAGGACAAAAGGCAAAAAGACUCUUCUGGGGGAUCCUGGUGAACACCCAGUGUCAGGCCGUUCAGUGCAAUGAGCCCAAUAGUCCCUCGUGAAGAGACCAUAUCAGCCCUGCCAUGAGAUGAGGGCUGUGCCGCCAUUCUAAGGCUGUCAGAGAAAGCCAUGCCAGACCCCUACUCUGCUGGCCUUGGCUCUGGUUCCCAGGGUGAUUCCCCAGCUGGGCUCAAGGCCAUGGCUCCCUGUUUCCAGGGAUUUAUGUCCCCCCAUGCCAGUCUGCCCCUUGGACAAUGCCCACCUCUGUGAGUCCCUCAGCCCAGGAGUGAUACAUAGUCAACCAGGGUCUGCGACAUCAUAAUCUGGUGCCAUGGCAACAGAUGGGCUGCCACAAAGGACUAGGGGAUUCUAGGGGCAGUGAGGAGGGGCUGACCCCAGGGUAGAGUAGGGGAGAGUGGGAAAUCCAGGACAAAGGAAGUGGGAAAUGCUAUUUAUAACAAGAACACGGGCCAAGGAAAGUGCCAGACAGUCCAUGGUCUAUCAAACUGCGCCCUGCCACUUGUAGGCUAUGUGACCUUACACAAGUUACAGGACUCCUGUGAGCCGCACUUUCUUCGUCUGCUUCACGGGACACACAGGGUCAUUGUGAGAAGCAAAUAAGCUAAGGAUGGCCCCAGGGCUUUAUGAACUGAGAAGCAAAAAGGUGCAAGUUAGAGGUGUGUGAAGUCACAGCCCUGGCCCCAGCUGCCGUGUGUGUAACACUGGGCCCAUCCGUCAAACCUUCUGAGCUUGCCUCCUCCUCAUCAGGAAAUGGAGGUGUGGCGCUGACUAAGUCUUAAGGCCCUCUCCACACUCAGUGUCUGUGAUCCUGUGAAACUGUUAGAAUCACUCAGCACUUCUUGGCUUCCCCCGCCUCCAGAGACAUCCUUCCCUGAGACAGUAUACAUCCUUCCCAUGCUGCUCCCCACCCACACGCAUCGUGGAGCCCCGGUGCAGAGAGAAGGCUCCAAAAUAAAGAUUAGUCCGGGCUGCCCAGGGGCACUGCUCUGUGCAGCUUCCUCUUGGCAAUCCGAAUGUCCUGCCGUGUUGGACUCCAGGGUCUUGAGGCCCCCUACGUGGGUCUCCCAUGUUACAUGCCUGGAAGCCAAGGCCUAGUGAGAAGUGACUGCUCAAAGCCACAGCACAUGUCUGUGGGAGGGCUGCACUUGAACCCAGGUAAUGACUCCCAAUCCCACUUUGUAGCCAGCAAGCCAGGCGAGGGCCACCUGACCUGGCCCAGGGGUCAGGGAAGGCUUCCCAGAGGAGGGGCACUGUGUUCAAGGAAGAGGAGUCAGCCAAGCUGUGGGAGUGAAGAGAGCAGGGAAGAGCAUUCCAGGAGGAAGGAUAAUGGGGCUUAGGGGCAUGGAGGAGCGAGCAGAGUGACCAUUAGGGGCUGGGGACAAGGCAAGUGGCAAGGGACCUGGAGCUCCACCAGGCCAGGGAACAAUUGACCCUGGUGGAGUUGUUCACCAAGUUGUGCACAAAGCUGCCCUGCAGAGGCCCAGCACAGGGGCCUGGCUUUCCUUGAGCUUGCCCAGGGACCCAUCCAGCCUCUUGCUAAACACAGGGCUGCUCUCCAGCAGCCAAAAAAACCCAGGGCUCCAGGCUGCCAGAGCUUCCUUUGGGAUUUCGUGAGGCCAUGCAAGACAGAAAAUCGGCCCUUAGCAGAGGAGGGGAGGGGUAGGGGGCAGGACAGAGCCCAGGGGUGGCCAUGCACCAGGAUAUUUGGGAUAGACACUUAUUAUUUUCCCCCUUGGAGAUGCAUGAUGCCCACGGUUUAUAAAGGCCCUGGGAAGGACUGCAGUAAAGAUAUCUGAUUGACGGUUUCCUCCAGCCUUCCAAGCUUGUUUAACCAAGGAACUCCUUUUUCAGAUGCCACAUCUGUUUAUUUCCCAAGAAACAAGUGGUCCAAUGAACCACACCUAGGAAAACACUGCUGGGGCACAAGCCUCUCAUCCUACAGAUGAUUAGAUGAGGUGCAGAGAAGGGAGGGACUAGCCCGUGUUGACACAGCAGCCUGGUAGUUGUACUUAGCCGUCUGUCUCUGGGCCAGCCCCACUAGGCCAUAAAAAAUAGAACAAAGUGUUCACAGAGCAUGGAGCCCAGAGUGAAGCUGCAGGGACCCCACUGGAGACCCCAAUCCUCAGAGCAGGGACACGUCUAGAGAAAGGCCCUGGAAAGAACAGAGAGAAUUGAUACCCAGCCACCUAGGACAGGGAGAUGAGGGAGCUGUCAGCCUUACAGGCUCUGACUGAUCUCUGGUUUCUGUGGACAGGUCUUGGGCUCUAGAGAAUGUUCUCUGAAGGCAGAGCAGCGACCCCUAAGAAAGGUGGAUUCCAGCUCAACAUUGUUGUUCAGCAAGCUGGGGCAGGUUCUUUCCCCUCCUAGGGCAGUUGAGAGGCUGAGAGCAAAGGUAAAGCCCCUAACUUGGAGAGCUGGGUGCACAGAAGGGACUUGGAUGUUCCCACUUCCUCUCCCAGGCCUGGGCCAGCACAGGGUGGCCUGGCUCUGGCCCUAAGGCAGUUGGGCCACUUGUACCCGGGUCGGGGAGAUGAAAGGGCUGCUCCCACCAACAGUUACCCUUCGACAGAGCUCGCCAUGCCCCAGCGUUGCCAAGACGACCGCUUCCAGCAGAAUGCAGAUCCGGGGUGGGGGCAGGGGGCGUGCCAGCCCGCCCCUGGCCUACUAACCUGGCAGGCAGAUUUAAAUGACAGUCCAGGAAGCUACUAUUAAACUGUCACCCCAGUCAACAGGAUGACAGACCCAGAGUGUUCUCUGGCUGCAGCAACGACAGAGCAGUAAUGAGAGGGGGAGGAGACCGUGGCCCAGAGCAACCUGCACCCCACCCGGGGGCCCUGGCCUGACGGCCGUCCCACUACCAGAGCCACCCUCUCAGGCUGUGGCGGGUCCUGGCAUGGAGCUGGGGCUCAGCACAGGGCCUGGAAAACUAUUUUUAAGCAGAGGAACCCUUUUCCCAAGUGAACCCCCAACAUAUAAGACAGAUUAAAAUGGAGCUGCACGGUUGGAAGUGGUGGUGGGGGUGAUGCCCAGAGCCCAUCGCCAGCAGAUCUGGGGUCCAGCAGCACUGGAUUCAAAUCCUCCAUCGCCAGCAGAUCUGGGGUCCAGCAGCAAUGGAUUCAAAUCCUAACCCCUCCCUGGACAUGUGAUGUUCCUAAAGCCCUCAGUUUAAAGAUCCCGUGGGUCCAUUAUAACAUUGCAAACAGCUUCCACAUGGCUCUGCUUCUGACACUCUAGGGACCUACGGUUCUAAGGCUGUAACACUCUGAUUUGCACCCUAAGCCCCUGUGACAAGACUCCAUGACAGCUACCGCCAGAGUCGGAGAUGUCGAUAAGCUGCGGAUGGCAGCCUCUGAUGCCUUCCCUGAAAGGAACUGUUUAUCUGAGUCCAGAAGUCCACAUGCGGACAGUCUCUGACUACUCAAGGCUCGGCGGUUCCCAGAAGGCGAACGGUUCCCACAGUGUCCUGACAGUAGGGUGCAGGAGCCAGCACCCGCGUGUGGUGGGCGGGACUCGGUGCGUGGCUUUGUACUGCCCAGCGGGCUCUGGGGCUCAAGCCACCAUCAUCCAUCAGCAGGCGACAUCUAAAUUCGCCCUCUCCCCCACCUUCCCAUCCCACCUGGGGAGACUGAGAAGCUGCAGGUGCUGAGGAGGAGGGAGACACACGAAGGGCUCCAGCCAAAGGAUUCACCCCAUUCGGAAUGAAGAGGCUGCAGCGGAAGGAGCACUUUUUGGUGAGGGCGGCUUUGCUUUCAAAUCGGGAAGAGUUUCCCUCAAAAUUUUCUGGGUUCUCUCCUCCAACCCAUUCCACUAAGGAGUUACACAAUUCUAACCAAGCCAGAUCCUAAGACCAUAAAUCUAUUUAUUUCCCAAGAAACAAGUGGUCCAAACAUGAAACAAGUGGUCCACCUUUGCCCCAAAACACCAAGGCAUGAAAAUGAGGUUGCAAAGAUCAGGAGGCCCGAGGAAAGACAAAAUGGGAGGCAGCAGCAGGGCCCCCAGCGGUGGAAGGAGUGUCACCCCUUCCCAUUCUGGGCCUCAGUUUCCUCAGGUGAACACAUCUCUAAGGGCCCCCUCCAGCUGACCUUCUGGAUUAGUGACCCCGUCACACGGAGGGGUUGUGGAUCUUGGUGCUGUUCCAAGUCCUUCCAAAGAGGUCAUCUGGGGCUUCCCACAACCAAGCACCUCCUCCAGGCCCCAGUACAUCCCAGCUGCUCUCAGAUACUGCCGGACCCUGGCCCCACUGUCACCAAGGGAGGCCCAAGCCCUUGCUGGGGUAUGUAGGCCUCCCUGUCACCACAGGGAAGAAGAGCGUCUCCGAGGGACAGACCGACAAAGGCGUCUUCCUGUCCCAGUGAUUUGUGGUUGCAGGAGGUAUUGAACGAGUGACAGCUGAGGGGCUGGGAGGAGGUGGGUAUGGGGGAGAGGUGGGCAGGAUGGGAUCAGCAGGAGUCCCUGGCUGGCGCCUGCAAAGGGACCAAGCAUUACGCAAGGGGUGCUGCUGAGAGCAGGCAGCACGCUGAGAAGAUGACCACGUUCCUGCCCUCUCCCAGGCUCCAGCCAGCCCCACCCUGGGUUUUGGCACUGGGAUUGUGGGUUCCAGAGAAACAGCUAGAAGAAAACUCAUGACAUUCUUAAAGUAGAAGCUUCCAGAGGCCAGAAGGCAAGGCCAGGAGACCCUUUAGGCCCUCCAGCCAGAGUCAUUGCCAGGCUCCCAGCCUCACAUUCCCCUUCCACUCCUACCCCAGUGGAAACGUGGCCUCCUCUGACCAGGGCACCUUCCUGGCUAACCCCAGCCAGGCCCCCUGGGGCUGAUGGGUCCACAGCUCCGCCUCCCUUGGGCAGGCUGACCUUGGAGCUUGCCAAGGACCCCUGCAUUCCAGGCCCUGUUCUUGCCACCAGCCCUCUGAGGGAAGGAGGGGCAGCUCUUCCGCUUCUUCUUUUGCAGUUGAGGAGAAGGUUCUAGAUCUCAUUCCAGCCCUGCUCUGCCACCAACACGCUGUGUGACAAGGGGCAGGCCUCUCUGGGCUCUCGGCCCCCACUAACUGUAAGUGGGAAGCUCAGGGCUCCCAGAGCAGAACUCUGCAGCCAGGGCCAAGGAGGCCAGGCCCGAGGGAUUCAAGAACCCACGAGGCGCAGACACUCCUCUGGUGGAGCGAAUGAUUGAGUGAUGACCCCUGCCUGUGUGGAGCGAAUGAUUGAGUGAUGACCUCUGCCUGUGUGGAGCAAAUGAUUCAGUGAUGACCCCUGCCUGUGUGGGGAGGGGUGGCGGGUCCCUGGCUGCUACCCACAGGCAGGCAGGGCACUCAGGCCUCUGAUGUCAGCAGUGGGUCGCUGCAGCACCCUCUCCUCUGCCCACCAGGUAGAGACUGCACACACUAGGAAGCAGCCCUGGCUAGUGAAAAACGCAAAUGCUUUCACCAAUUAGGCUGGUAGGAGAAGCAUUUCCUAGCAGGAGCCUCACUGGCCCAUCCCGGUGAUAAAUGGGCAGCACCUGUUAUUGGGAAAUCCAUCUCCUGGUGUGGGACUGCUGCCUCUCUGGAGUGCUCCUCUGUGCUGGGCUCUGGGCUCCUCACCAGGGAGUGUGUGGCAGGCUGUGCCCAGGAGGCUGGUGUGAGCUCUCUGCCACCCCCAGCCUCACAUUGGUCAUCCAGGGAGCCUCUGCCCACCUGUGCCCACCUGUGUGCCCAGCAGAAGGUCUGCAGGUUAAAGUAUCACUCUGUGAUAUCGCUGAGGCCUGUGCAGGGAGUCUGCUGGCUUUUCUGGAGAGAGGUUAAGAAUAUCUCACUGAGAAUGGAGUUAGCAAUGGGCCGUCUGCCACUCCUGGCCUGGAGGGCCUGGCUCUGCUCUGUGGCCUUGAUGUAAGUCUCUGGCCUUCUCUGUGCCUUGCUCUCUUCUUUCAUGGCAUGGUGAGUUGGAUGAGAUAAGCUCUAAGUUCCUCUCCUUUUUAGGUAUGGUUUUACCCACCACCAGGCCCAGAGUGGGCUGACAGAGGGAGGGAACUGUGGCUUGGUCCCCAGUCCCUUACAGUCCACUCCUGUGGCUCCAGGGGCUACAAAUCCAGAGCCAGUAGUCACUGUCCUACCAAAGUCCUCUCCGUAAUCAAAGAGCCAUCUUUCCUUGCCUGCUGGCUUCCCAUCUCCCCUUGAAUAUGACCAACUGCCUUAGCAGGGCACUCAGGAACAGUUCAACCUGCCCUGCUACUGCUCUGGCCCAUCCCUGGCCAUCACCUGCCUCCAGUAACCACUCAAUGGUUAUGGACAAGCCAUUGGCCUUCAUACCAGGUGCUUUUGCUCACGCAGCUCCCCCAGGCCAGAAGCCCUUCUUCCACCUCCAUGGGCAAAACUCUCCCACCCCUGAUGGCCAGCUCAAGCAUCAGCUGUUCAUGGUGUCUGACAAUGCCCCCAUCCAAAUGCCCCCACCUCUGACAGAGCAGAAAUGAGUGGAUCCCAGCCCAGGGCCAGCCAGGGCCCACAACACCAAAGGUAGGACGUUAGCAAGCUCGAGUCUCCAUGGGGUGCUUAUUUUGCUGCUGUAUUUUGGCAGACCGACCCAGGCAGUGCCUACGGGAAGCCCCUUCCAGGCUGUGCCCACCCUGGCCGUCAGUGCUGAGAUGAAGAUCUGCGGCCCCACUGGCCAGGGGAGACCUCAGGAGCCAUCCACCAGACCGGACUAGGCUCAGAAGUCAUCCCAGCAGCUCAAGACAGUUUCAUCAUGCUGCCCAGGCGGCCUAGAGCCGUACUACAGCAGGUGAUCCAGAGUCAGGGCCUGGGAACAACCUGUAUGAUUAUAGGUACCCAAAGCCUGGGUUUGUUCAAUUGGUCCAGGCACGACCCAGUCUGAGGCCAAGGCGGGAAGCAGGACCUAGGACGAGGGUGUCCCACUAUACCCAGGAGAGGCUUCCCCCUCACCUGCCAACAGCCCUUUGAGGUAGGGCCUGCCAAGACGCCCCUGUGCAGAAGAGGAAACCAAG